rnacentral:lncRNA from 1 species
UUUUUUUAAGUUGAAUUUGUUCAGAUUGGUCCACUUCAUCUUUUUUGAGAGUAUGAAAAAAAAAGUUUAAUUGUGGAACUGUGAUUUUCUUUCACGAUAAUAGCCCAAAAAUGGGUAAAAAUUGAUGAAAAAUGGGAAAAUCAUCAAAAUUAGGUACUUUCAAAGGGCCAUAGCAAAACAAGUAGCACACCACCAUAUGACUGUUUCUUCACCAAUUAUUUUUCUACUGUCAUAUAAAACCAAAAAUCAGGUUAGAAAAAAAGUUUAAUUCUAACAAAAUUUGGCUCC